rnacentral:rRNA from 1 species
AGUGAACGCUGGCGGUAGGCCUAACACAUGCAAGUCGAACGGCAGCACAGUAAGAGCUUGCUCUUACGGGUGGCGAGUGGCGGACGGGUGAGGAAUACAUCGGAAUCUACUUUUUCGUGGGGGAUAACGUAGGGAAACUUACGCUAAUACCGCAUACGACCUACGGGUGAAAGCAGUGGAUCUUCGGACCUUGCGCGAUUGAAUGAGCCGAUGUCGGAUUAGCUAGUUGGCGGGGUAAAGGCCCACCAAGGCGACGAUCCGUAGCUGGUCUGAGAGGAUGAUCAGCCACACUGGAACUGAGACACGGUCCAGACUCCUACGGGAGGCAGCAGUGGGGAAGAUUGGGCAAUGGGCGAAAGCCUGACGGAGCAACACCGCGUGAGUGAAGAAGGUCUUCGGAUCGUAAAGCUUUGUUAUUAGGAAAGAAAAAAUGUAGGAGAAACUACGGACGUCCUGACGGUACCCAAAGAGAAAGCAACGGCUAACUACGUG